CCCCUAGAUGUUCUGGGCCGCACGCGCGCUACACUGAACAGUUCAACAAGUCUUAACCUUGGCCGAUAGGUCUGGGUAAUCUUUGAACGCUGUUCGUGAUUGGGAUAGACCUUUGCAAUUAUGGGUCUUCAACGAGGAAUUCCUAGUAAACGCAAGUCAUCAGCUUGCAUUGAUUACGUCCCUGCCCUUUGUACACACCGCCCGUCGCACCUACCGAUUGAGUGAUCCGGUGAAUAAUUCGGACCGCGAUAUUGUGGGCAACUGCAAUUUUUGUGGGAAGUUUAGUGAACCUUAUCACUUAGAGGAAGGAGAAGUCGUANCA
rnacentral:rRNA from 1 species